AGACAAUUAUAUAUAUUACUUGUGUUUAUGCUGUUUAGUCAGCUGACAGCACAGUGUGAGGGAAAGAGAAUAGCACAACACCACCUUGCACACUCUCACCAACAUACACACACACACACACCAGUCACACAUUUAGCAAAUCCAUGAAAAUUAUGUAAAGAGUAGACUACCUUGCAUCAAAGUUAAAUACCAGUUGAAUGAGUGAGUAAGAAGGAAGAAAGCCAUUGGAAUAAUGUCUACAGAUUCACGACUACUGGUCAUCUUAUGUAUUGCUAUCAUUACCAUUGUCUUCAAGGCAAGUGAAGCCACUGAAACUCAUUCAACGGACAUAAAAAUAGAACCAUUUCCUCAUCCUCAAGAACAAGGGAAAUCUUUAAAAUACGAAUGCAGCCUCCCACACAAAGAAAACAUUACAUGGCUUUUACCAAAUGGUACCAGGGUUGAUGAAUUUGACGGUAAUCAUAUUGAGCAGAUCUCAAACACAUUAUUCAUAAGAAAUGCUACUGUUCAGGAUUCUGGUUCCUACACAUGCCUGCAGGCGGAAACUAUGAUUAAGGCCACUGUUAAUGUGAUCAUUUACAUCAAAUAUGACUAUUUUAAAGAAGGUUUAAUCAUUGUUGGUAUAAACUGUUCUUUAUUACUUAUAAUUUUUACUUGUUAUAUUGUUAGAUUUAUCAGGUCUUAUAGAAGGAAAUAUCAACAAGCACCCACGGAUUUAAAUGAAAAUAUUUGAAUGCCCUGAGACAAAAAGAAAGACAUGGAAGGGACAAACACUAAUUACUAAAUUGUUAGGACAAUGGCAUUCAUAGAAAGAAAGAAAGAAAAAAAAAAAAGCAAUAUUUAAAAAUUACAGAAAAUAAAUUCUCACAAGAGGAUUUGUUGAUAUUAAGAAGGUUAAUAUAAAUACAGGAUUUAUCUUCAUUUUCAUAAA
rnacentral:lncRNA from 1 species